UACGUAGGUGGCAAGCGUUGUCCGGAAUUAUUGGGCGUAAAGGGCGCGCAGGCGGUUCCUUAAGUCUGAUGUGAAAUCUCGUGGCUCAACCACGAGCGGUCAUUGGAAACUGGGGAACUUGAGGACAGAAGAGGAGAGCGGAAUUCCACGUGUAGCGGUGAAAUGCGUAGAUAUGUGGAGGAACACCAGUGGCGAAGGCGGCUCUCUGGUCUGUGACUGACGCUGAGGCGCGAAAGCGUGGGGAGCGAACAGG
rnacentral:rRNA from 1 species